AUUUGAUGAAGAUGAUUUGAAGAUGAUAGAAAUAACUAGUUUGUUCAUGAAAGAAUGUAAAUCUGGUGAGCAUCAGCAUGUUGUUCAGCAUCAUGAAUGAGGAAUGAAGAAUAAACACCUCUUUGUUCUUCAGUAUCAUGAUGUUUCAUCUGCAGGUUCUGGAUCACUGGAUCUCUCUGUCCUCUCCUUCCAGAUGCUUUGUAGUAUUCCCGCCAAAAAGAAACGAAUGAAUGAAUGAUGGAUUCUACAGCACUUUACUAUGUUCUACUGUACACUUAGAGGUCUCUCCUCACCCAUCAUGAUGUUCCUCCUCCACUUCACUCAGAAACAGAGGAUUUCUUAAAACUGUGACACCCAGGAAGUGACAUCAUCUGGGCUCUUUCUACAGCAUGAUGGGAGGACAAGAAAAUGAUCUCAAUCCAUUUUUACACAAACUGUACAGUGUUGAUCACAUUCAUCAACGCUGUUACCAAAGUUACUGUAAGAAGAAUAAUCUCUAUAACUAUGAAUAACUUCUAUAAGAGAAAUACAACAGUAAAUCUGAAUGUAAAUGUGCAGAAGUGUUUGAAUCUCUCUAACAUGAAUGUUGUUCAGCAUCAUGAAUGAAUGAAGAAUAAACACCAACCUCUUUGUUCUUCAGUA